rnacentral:rRNA from 1 species
GGGGGGACCAUCCUCCAAGGCUAAAUACUCCUGACUGACCGAUAGUGAACCAGUACCGUGAGGGAAAGGCGAAAAGAACCCCGGCGAGGGGAGUGAAAAAGAACCUGAAACCGUGUACGUACAAGCAGUGGGAGCCUCUUAAUGGGGUGACUGCGUACCUUUUGUAUAAUGGGUCAGCGACUUAUAUUCUGUAGCAAGGUUAACCGAAUAGGGGAGCCGAAGGGAAACCGAGUCUUAACUGGGCGUUAAGUUGCAGGGUAUAGACCCGAAACCCGGUGAUCUAGCCAUGGGCAGGUUGAAGGUUGGGUAACACUAACUGGAGGACCGAACCGACUAAUGUUGAAAAAUUAGCGGAUGACUUGUGGCUGGGGGUGAAAGGCCAAUCAAACCGGGAGAUAGCUGGUUCUCCCCGAAAGCUAUUUAGGUAGCGCCUCGUGAAUUCAUCUCCGGGGGUAGAGCACUGUUUCGGCAAGGGGGUCAUCCCGACUUACCAACCCGAUGCAAACUGCGAAUACCGGAGAAUGUUAUCACGGGAGACACACGGCGGGUGCUAACGUCCGUCGUGAAGAGGGAAACAACCCAGACCGCCAGCUAAGGUCCCAAAGUCAUGGUUAAGUGGGAAACGAUGUGGGAAGGCCCAGACAGCCAGGAUGUUGGCUUAGAAGCAGCCAUCAUUUAAAGAAAGCGUAAUAGCUCACUGGUCGAGUCGGCCUGCGCGGAAGAUGUAACGGGGCUAAACCAUGCACCGAAGCUGCGGCAGCGACACUAUGUGUUGUUGGGUAGGGGAGCGUUCUGUAAGCCUGUGAAGGUGGCCUGUGAGGGUUGCUGGAGGUAUCAGAAGUGCGAAUGCUGACAUAAGUAACGAUAAAGCGGGUGAAAAGCCCGCUCGCCGGAAGACCAAGGGUUCCUGUCCAACGUUAAUCGGGGCAGGGUGAGUCGACCCCUAAGGCGAG